UGGCGGCGUGCCUAAUACAUGCAAGUCGAACGAUGAAGCUCUAGCUUGCUAGAGUGGAUUAGUGGCGCACGGGUGAGUAAUGCAUAGAUAACAUGCCCUUUAGUCUAGGAUAGCCAUUGGAAACGAUGAUUAAUACUGGGUACUCCUUACGAGGGAAAGUUUUUCGCUAAAGGAUUGGUCUAUGUCCUAUCAGCUUGUUGGUGAGGUAAUGGCUCACCAAGGCUAUGACGGGUAUCCGGCCUGAGAGGGUGAACGGACACACUGGAACUGAGACACGGUCCAGACUCCUACGGGAGGCAGCAGUAGGGAAUAUUGCUCAAUGGGGGAAACCCUGAAGCAGCAACGCCGCGUGGAGGAUGAAGGUUUUCGGAUUGUAAACUCCUUUUGUUAGAGAAGAUAAUGACGGUAUCUAACGAAUAAGCACCGGCUAACUCCGUGCCAGCAGCCGCGGUAAUACGGAGGGUGCAAGCGUUACUCGGAAUCACUGGGCGUAAAGAGCGCGUAGGCGGGAUAGCAAGUCAGAUGUGAAAUCCUAUGGCUUAACCAUAGAACUGCAUUUGAAACUGUUAUUCUAGAGUAUGGGAGAGGUAGGUGGAAUUCUUGGUGUAGGGGUAAAAUCCGUAGAGAUCAAGAGGAAUAACUCAUUGCGAAGGCGACCUGCUAGAACAUAACUGACGCUGAUGCGCGAAAGCGUGGGGAGCAAACAGGAUUAAAUACCCUGGUAGUCCUCGCCCUAAACGAAGAAUGAUAGUUGUUGUGGAGGUUGUCUCUGCAGUAAUGCAGCUAACGCAUUAAGCAUUCCGCCUGGGGAGUACGGUCGCAAGAUUAAAACUCAAAGGAAUAGACGGGGACCCGCACAAGCGGUGGAGCAUGUGGUUUAAUUCGAAGAUACACGAAGAACCUUACCUAGGCUUGACAUUGAUAGAAUCCGCUAGAGAUAGUGGAGUGCUAGCUUGCUAGAACUUGAAAACAGGUGCUGCACGGCUGUCGUCAGCUCGUGUCGUGAGAUGUUGGGUUAAGUCCCGCAACGAGCGCAACCCUCGUCCUUAGUUGCUAACUAUUCGGUAGAGCACUCUAAGGAGACUGCCUUCGCAAGGAGGAGGAAGGUGAGGAUGACGUCAAGUCAUCAUGGCCCUUACGCCUAGGGCUACACACGUGCUACAAUGGGAAGCACAAAGAGAUGCAAUAUUGUGAAAUGGAGCAAAUCUAUAAAACUUCUCUCAGUUCGGAUUGUAGUCUGCAACUCGACUACAUGAAGCUGGAAUCGCUAGUAAUCGUAAAUCAGCUAUGUUACGGUGAAUACGUUCCCGGGUCUUGC
rnacentral:rRNA from 1 species